UACGGAGGAUCCAAGCGUUAUCCGGAUUUAUUGGGUUUAAAGGGUGCGUAGGCGGCCUAUUAAGUCAGGGGUGAAAGACGGUGGCUCAACCAUCGCAGUGCCUUUGAUACUGAUGGGCUUGAAUGAACCUGAGGUAGGCGGAAUGUGACAAGUAGCGGUGAAAUGCAUAGAUAUGUCACAGAACACCAAUUGCGAAGGCAGCUUACUAAAGUUUAAUUGACGCUGAGACGCGAAAGCGUGGGGAGCGAACAGG
rnacentral:rRNA from 1 species